UACGAAGGGGGCUAGCGUUGUUCGGAUUUACUGGGCGUAAAGCGCACGUAGGCGGAUCGUUAAGUCGGGGGUGAAAUCCUGGAGCUCAACUCCAGAACCGCCUUCGAUACUGGCGAUCUUGAGUCCGGAAGAGGUGAGUGGAACUCCUAGUGUAGAGGUGGAAUUCGUAGAUAUUAGGAAGAACACCAGUGGCGAAGGCGGCUCACUGGUCCGGUACUGACGCUGAGGUGCGAAAGCGUGGGGAGCAAACAGG
rnacentral:rRNA from 1 species